rnacentral:rRNA from 1 species
UACAGAGGGUGCGAGCGUUAAUCGGAAUUACUGGGCGUAAAGCGUGCGUAGGUGGUUAUAUAAGUUAGGUGUGAAAUUCCUGGGCUUAACCUGGGAACUGCGCCUAAUACUGUAUAGCUAGAGUAUUGUAGAGGAAAGUGGAAUUUCCGGUGUAGCGGUGAAAUGCGCAGAUAUCAGGAGGAACACCGGUGGCGAAGGCGGUUCUCUGGGCAUGACCUGACGCUGAGGAGCGAAAGUGUGGGGAGCGAACAGG